rnacentral:lncRNA from 1 species
AACAGUGGCUUUGGGAUUGGAACAUUCAUUGGCAUAAUGAUCAACCUAGUCUACAACAGAAACAACGAAGUGAUCUUCUUGCACCUCAGCAUGCAUAUUGGUAGUCUCCACUGGUAUAUACCUACUAGGCUUGUUCCAUGUAGGAUUGGAAAAUAAUCUUGGUUGUCCCAUUGGUAUGGAGGGCAUUUGGUUUGAUGACGUCGGUAGGGUGACAUUAACUGACCUUGACUAUUGGCACUGGAAUUGGCCACUAUUUCUAACAUCCAAGAUGACUAAAUAUUAAUAAUAUCUUUUUUAUUUAUAUUUUCACCAUAUAGCCGUGUUACAAUAUGACAUCCACCCCCUCUGAACCUGGGCAUCCUCUAGUAUGCAUCAAAUAAUCUUGUUGUUGUUUGAUUCAUAAUAUGUUCUCCAAGUCUUUGUCCAAAUUUUCUUCAUCAUUUUUGCUAUCCAUGUCAAAUUCAUCUUCCUAUUGAAGAAUAUCUAUAUCUUCACAAAGGUCUUUUAUAUUUAUUUUUGUAUAUCUUUGUUUAAAUAUUUUUACUCGCUUCCUUGCAAUUGGUAUUUUUAUCCUUAUUCCAUCUAACUCAUGUAGUGAAUAAGUUGCAUGAUCAUGAACAGUUGUUACCACAUACGGUCCAAACCAUCAUUUAAAAAACUUCCUUAAAAUACUAUGUUGAUUGUCCAAGCUACUAUCAAAGACCAAAAUCCAAUCACCUUCUUCAAUUGCUUUAGACCUCAAUCGAUGCUGCUUAUUAAAUCAUCUCUUAUUUUCUAACCUCGCUCUUUUUAACCUUUGUAAUGCUAUUUGAAAAUCUUUUGAUUUUUGCUCUUAUUGUUGAAUUCUAAUAGCUAGAAGUUCUUCUCUUGUCAAUCCAUCUUUCUAUGGUAGCACACUCCAAGUAGGUACUUUUUCUUCAAUUGGCAUAAUUGGUUUUUGGCCUGUCAUAAGCUCAAUAGGCAUAUAUCCCAUUACUGAGCUAUGAGUUGUUCGAUCAAUCCAUAAUGCAAAUGAGAAAAGUUAUGACCAUUCUCUAACCUUCCGAUUACAAGCUUUAACUAAUGCUUUAACAAUCGAUGGGUGACUACGUUCACUUUUUACAUUUCCUUCAAGAUUAUAAGCAAUAGUCAGUGAUAGUUUAGUUCCACAUCUUCCAAAGAAUUCAUAAGCUUCUUAUGCAUUUAAUUCUCCAUGAUCUGCAGUGAUUUUUCUUACACAUCCGUAGCAGUAAAUAACAUCUUCAAGCAAAAAUCUACAAAUUCCUUCUGUAGUUAUUGUUCUCAAUGCUCUUCCUUCUACUUGAUUUAAUAAAUCUUCACGGUCUAAGACCAAAUAUCUUAUUUGUCAUAAUCCGAUUGGCAUAGUAACCAAAUCAACAACCUAUUUAAAAUGAAUAGCUAGAUGAUAUGUAGCAUGAAGACCAUCUGGAUGUCGUAUAUUAGAAUACGCUUGACAAAUUUCACAUGAUUCCACAAAUAAGAGUACAUCUUGAUACAUAUUUCUCCACCAAUAUCGUUCCUUAAGUUUAGCAAAAGUAGCCCAAAUUCCUCUAUGUCCUAUCCAUAAACUAUCAUAAAAUCCCUUUAAUAAUUUUUGUUUCUCUUCCUUAUUGCCUAUCACUCUUUGUGGCAUUCCAAUUCCUUUCUUUGGUCUAUUCCAUAUGCUUUUUUUCUUAUUUUUUUCAAUCUUUCUGUAGACCAAUUUUCUUGCUUAGUCAUGGUAUUCAAGUAAUGACCAAUAUCCAAUAAUUCUCCUUCAUAAUUUUCUUCAAGAAAUAGCUUGUCUUCUUUGUAAAGAUUUGAUAUUGAAUAGAAUUUUGAUCCAACAUCAUCAAUGUCUUCAACCAUUUUGUCUUCUCUUUCAUAUCUUCUUCGCGAUAGUAUGUCUGCUAUUAAAUUAUCUUUUCUAGUAACAUGCUUAAAUUUCGGAUUUAAUGACUUAAUAUAAGCAAUCCAUCUUAACAUUGCAAUAUCCAAUGUUGAAUAAUUAGUAAUCAUUCCAAGUAAUGGUAAGCAAUCCAUUUCAAUUACUACUGCUGCACCAAUCAAAUAAUCCCUUUCAGCUUUCAUAGCCAAAAUAACUCCUCAAAGUUCUCUUUUGACUAACAAAUAUGCACGUUGAUGAGUACUUAAAACUUUAGCUCCAAAUCGAACUGUAAAUCUAUUUCCACUUAAAUCAUCUUGACCCACAGUCCAUCUAAUAGCAAUAGGACUGGUAUCCACAAUAAGAAUUACUUAUCUAUUAUAGUCAUAAUCAAUUUUUCUUAAAAUUGGAGGUAUCACCAAUAACACCUUUAGCUUCAACAUUACUUCAGUAUGCUUUCUUUCCCAUUUGAAUCGAUAACUUUUAUGUAAUAAUUCAUACAAUGGAUCUGCUACAUGAGCAUAAUGAGCAAUCCACAUACGAUAAAAUACACAAGCUCCUAAAAACCUACGUAUUUCUAUUAAAGAGUCAUAUGAAUCCUUCAUCCUUCCAAUUGCAUCAACUUUGCUUGGAUCUAGCUUUCUCCCAUAAAAUCUAUAUAAAUGCCCAGCAAUAAGAACUUCCUGCAUUUCAAAUGUAGAUUUUGCUCCUGAAAGUGUAAGAUGAACAUCUUCAAGUCGACUUAAAAUCUUUUCACAAUCUUGUAUAUGAUCAACAACAUAUUUGCGACACCUCCUCUCAUCUAAAGUUUCAUCUUUUUCUCCUUCUUUACAUCCUUUGAUAGGAACAUCAUCUAAAAGGGGCAUAGUUUUUUCAGGAAUGAAGUCUUUUAAUACCUUGUUCAUCUCAUUCAUCAUAUGUGCAAUUGAAUUAGUAGCACCUUGAGGGAGAGUAUACAUUUUAAGUAAUCCAAGUGGCAUUCUCAUUGUUGUUAGAUCUCUACUCCCAUGCAGAAGUGGAAAUUGAUUAUAACCCGAAUAUAAAUCACCCAUUGAAUAAAUUGUCCAUCCCGCAAACGCUUCUACAAACUCGUCUAUUAAAGGUCCUAUAUCUGCAUUUCUUAUAGUUACUGCAUUGAUUGGCUGCAUAUCUUGAAUAAAACAUAAUGAUCCAUUUUUCUUAGGCACCGUAAACCAAUGACUAGAAUAUGGAGCAAAAAAAGGCUUCUAAAUUUUCAUUCGCAUCUUUUCAUUCAAUAAUUCCACCAAUUUAGGUAAAUGUACCCUUGGUACGAAAAUUGAUCUUAAGUUCCAAGGCACAUGAGGUACUAUAAAGAUAACUAUAGGAGCAACAACAUUAGGAUCUACACAUCCUAUGUCACGAGACCCAAAGGCAAAUGAUUUACUUCAUUUUGCAAGCAUUUUUUUAAAAUAUUCAAUUUCUAUUGGAAAUAAGAAACUAUCACAUCCAAUCUUCAAUUCUUCAAAAGUCUCCUUUAUAAACCGAUGUCCAAUCUUCUUUCGAUCUCUUAAACUCUUUUCUUUUGAUGCUUCUUCUAUUUGUUCUUUAGAAUCUUCUGAUAAAGGUCCGACAAGAAGUUUUUUUUUUUUUAUCUAUUAUUUUAUAUUUUUUCUCUAGAAUAACUUCUGGUGCUUGAAAAGAUUCAAGUAUAGAAUAAACCUCCCUUGAAUGAAUUUCCACAAUCUUAUCAUUAUCCUCUAAUCCAAUAGAUGUAAUUAAUUCUAAAGAAUCCUCAAAUCCAUUUUCUUCAUAAACACCUAAAAUCUUCUCAUCAUCUUCUAAUGUCUCUAACUUGCGUAAUUUCUUUUCAAUAUUAUAUAAUCUUUUCCUUUUUUUUAAAAAAAAAUCAUCAACUUUCUUAUACAUAGUAUUUCCAUUCUCAAAAAUAUCAAUAAAACUCACAUCAGAAGUACCUUCAUCUCGCGAGAGUACCACCUCUUUUGUACCUCUAUAAUCCCGCUUUAUAGUGGUACUUGUUCAAAAUCCUUAAAUCCUUCAACAAAUCUUGACAAUGUUUUCUCCUUUAAUCUAUCUCAAUUCCGUUCAUGAUUAGGAGAUACUGUCAUAAACUGUACAGCUUUCCUUCCAUCUUCACUGUGUAUCUUUGCAAAAGCAGAACCAUCAUCUAAUACUUUUAUUUCCAUCCGUGUUUUCGUGAUAUAAGGUUGUCCUAAAAUCAAUGGAUAAGAUGUUGUAUCUUGAACAAAGAAAUAUUGCUCUGUCGCAACAUCUCCAAUCCGAAUUUUGACAUGUGGACAAGCUCCAUAUAAUUCACCUCCUGUAUUAUUAGCUGCUCGUAUUAACCAUCCAUGUUCCAUAUCAAUUGGCCAUUUCCGCUUCUUAUAAAGAUCCUUAGAUAUAAGAUUUAUUUCAGAUCCAUAGUCAAUUAAAGCAAUAAUUGGUUCUUUUAUAUCUCCUACUUUCACCAAUACUUUAGUAGUUGCCCUUGUCCAAUGUUUUUGAGUAUAAUUGCUUGAAGCUUCCAUUUCCUUAUCACUAUGAUCUUCAAAAUGUACUCAUUGAUUACAUCCAUUCUUUUCAUUUGUUGAUUGCUUGUAACCAUUAUCAAGCUCUUCUUCAUCUUUAUAUAAUCGUACAUCAAUAGCAUGAGUCAUUCUAGCUUUGUCCAUUAAUUGCCUCUUUCGCUUAAUGUUGUCAAUGAUAACAUCAUGAAACUCCUUCUUUGCAAUUUCUAAAAUCUCUUUCAAUGUGAAUUCCACUUUAGCAUUUAAUAUACGUUCUUCCAACACCUCUUUUAAAUUUGUUGCCACUUCAAUAUCAAAAAGUAGCUUAUAAGCAAUUGAUUUACCCUUAUCUUUUAUCUCCUUUGUUUUUUCUUCCAAUGAUACUGAAGUAUCCUUUAUAGGCAAUUCUUGUGAAACCGCCUCACAAGCCUCAUUUUCUCGAGUCUGCCUCUUAGAAGAAUUUCUUUCUCUUGUAUCAUCAAAAUUUCCUCAUCUCUUUUCUUCCAUCAAAGCUUCAUGUUGGCUCUUGGCAAUAUAUGCAUGAAUUAAAAGAGACUCAACAUGAUCUUUUCAACUUGUUGCACCUUGUAUUGUAAUUGCAGUCCUCAAUAAUGCUUCCCGAGGCAUUUUCCCCUUUUGUAUUGUAGAAAUGGUAGAAGCCCAAAAUUCACUAGUUUCUAUAUUUCCACCAAAGUCAUCAUAUACUCUAGCACCAUAAUUUGUACUCUCUCAUGAUGCUACUCCAUGUUCUGUUAAGUAAUCUUGAACCAAUGCUCUCAUACCUCCUUUGCAAAAAUUGAUUUGAAGGAGAUCUUCUGUAUCCUUUAAUACAAUCUUUCCAUCUUUCUAGAAAAUAACUCAUUGUUGUAUCAUAUUAUUAAAUUUAUUGCAAUCCUUCUUAUAAUAUGAGGCGUCAUCACACUAGAUAUAUCUUUGUACAUACUCUUGUUUUGAAACAUUCUUCAAUUUGUUUGUAGAAGUAUUUUCUUUGAGUCUUGCCAAUUUGAUUUGAAGAUCUUGUAUUCCACAUAUAAUUUCUUCAAUCCCCAUGUCUCCUUUCUUUGAUAAAGAUGUCAAAGGUUAAACAGUAGGCAUUGUCGAGCAUGUUGUAUGUAUUGGAAUUUUAGGUACUUGAACUGCAUUUGAAAUAUUACUCCUAUCCUUCCUCCUUUCUCUUUUUGCAAGUAAAUCCACUGCAUUUUCAACAUUUUUCCACUUUGUUGCCAAUCCUUCAUCUUCCUCUUUGCCUUCAAGAAGCAACUCCAAUUUCUCUUGUAAUUCUCCAUGAGCAGCUUGAAGAAAUAAUUCAACCUUGUUUGGCUCUAAUGUCAAUUUUUCUACCUUCGAUAAUUGAAAAUAUUGCCUCUCAAAUUUCCUUAGUAGCUCUGUUGCUUGCAAAUUCUUAUUAGGCUACUCAAUCCAUUCUACAAAUAGUUUCUUAGUAACACAAAUAAUGUCUUUCAAGAAAUAUUUGUCUUUUAAUGCAUGUGAAAAAAUCUCCCAUGAAUUUCCAUAAUGCUCUAUAAUUGAGGUAAUAUGCUCUCUUAUCUCCGAUAUCAUGGCUAAUUCAAAUAAUUCAACCAUCUUCUUCUCAGAAAUCUAAUUUAACUACAUUUUCUAAACAUAACAUCUUAAAUACUUUGAAAUAUCCCUUCCAUCAAACUGGUCAAUUUUAUUGACCACUGCUUCGAAAGCUUUGGUUGCUAAAGCUUCUUUGCAAUCAUUGUUUUGUUGUUGCUGCAUAGACAAUCAUAAGGCUUGAAACAUACUAGCAAUGGAUGGAUCCAUAUAUAUAUAUAUAUAUAUAUAUAUAUAUAUAUAUCUCCUAUCUUUUAGAAGAAACUCCAUUAGAAGCUCUACUUGAAGCUCCUCUUAAAGAUCCUUCAAAAUUUUUAUUCUCAUUCUCUAUAAAAUAAAAUAAAAAGAAACGAAAUCCAAUACCUUCCACCUCAAGCUUUCACGUCAGAUUCACCACUUAUGUCAUAUUAUGUGCUAUCUUGCUUGAGAACGCACAGGGCAUCUAGAGGUUGCAAGAAAAUGUCGUUAAUUUAGACUUAUGUAUCUUGACCGCCGCCUAGAAGUCCUCGACUUACUACACCAAAAGUCACCUUAUUCCAGUGAGUAGAUCUCCAGAUAUUACAGAAAUCCUAAACAAUCCCAAUCUGCUAACUUUUGAUACCUCUUUACGCUAAUCGUCAAAUAUCUUCUAUCUGUUCCAUCAGAUUAAUACAACUUUUUGCAUGCACUCGACAUACUCAACCCUCUAAACACCUCUAAAUUUCAACUCCAGAAGUUUCUCCGAUUUCACAAAACAAUCAAGAGUAUCAGCCUUAACUUUAUUGCAAAAAUCCAAUUCACUAAUACAAACACUGACUUUCACCAACGAUUGCCAAAAGUCCUCCCAAACCCUAUGAAUCCAAUUCUAUACCUUUCGAAGAAACUUGAAGCUAGCUCUCCGACCCCAAAAUCCUGAUCUCCGAAUGCCCCUUUCCUUAUCAUCUCCUCCCUUUUAACUCCAUGUGGUCCCUUUUUUCUUCCGCCCUAGACUCCGAAUUAGAACAACCAAUGGCGCUUCCCCGGAAUUCUUGUCUCUAAGAAGAUCUUUCCACCGAAGGGGCGUUUCUCUCAAAAAGGCAUAGAAAAUGGAACAGAUUGAAAUGGAACCAAAGCCUCCGUAUUCGGGACCUCAUUGGGUUGCUUAACCAAGUCAAGUCUCAUAUUGGAUAAGACGCCCAUACUAGGACCUGGAUUGGAUGUCCCCGUAAUUGGGUCAUAUUGGCCCUUCACAUCAAACUCACCCAAAUAUUGAAUUGGUCUUUUCUCCUUUAGUCGAUUCUUGAUAAGAAUGGCUCAGACUCAUUCCAUCCGAUUUAUCAGAGAAUCUUGAGGACCUUGAUUUAUCUCCUCAAUUUUUCCUUGGCUUUGGAUCUAAUGAUCCCGUUUAUUGAAAUUGGACGGAGUAUUACAUUGUUGAUAAGUAUGCCUCAUCUGCUUGCAAUUCCUACACACUGGCGCGUAAACAACAGUGGCUUUGGAAUUAGAAUAUUCACUGCCAUAAUGAUCAACCUAGUCUGCAACAGAAACAACGAAGUGGUCUUCCUGCACCCCAUCAUGCAUAUUGGUAGUCUCCACUGGUAUAUACCUACUAGGCUUGUUCCAUGUAGGGUUGGAAAAUGAUCCUGGUUGUCCCGUUGGUACGGAGGGUAUUUGGUUCAAUGAUGUCGGUGGGGUGAUAUUAACUAACCUUGACUAUUGGCACUGGAAUUGGCCACUAUUUCUAACAUCCAAGAUGACUAAAUAUUAA